CCUCCGUGAGCCAAAAUUAGGCCGCGGCCAAAGCCGCGCCCAAAAAUAACCGCCCGAAGGCCGGGGCGCAAAGUUCGUCCAGCGGAAAAAGGCCACAAAAACGGGUGGGCUAUAGCCUUGGGGGGUGGGGCUGGCCAACUUCGUCCGCCGGACUCGGAAUGCUACGAGACUUUGCGAGGGGCCUCCGCAUGACAAAAAUAGGCCUCGGGCACAGCUGCACACAAAAAUAACUGCCCGAAGCACGGGGCGCCAAGUUCGUCCAGCGGAAAAAGGCAACAAAAACAGGUGGGCUAUAGCCUUGGGGGGUGGGGCUGGCCAACUUCGUCUGCCGGACCCGGAAUGGCGCGAGACUAUGCGAGGCACCUCCGUUUGCCAAAAAUAGGCCGUGGGCAAAGCCGAACCCAAAAAUAACCGCCCAAAGGCCAGGGCGCCAAGUUCGUCCAGCGGAAAAAGGCCACAAAAAUGGGUGGGCUAUAGCCUUGGGGGGUGGGGCUGGCCAACUUCGUCCGCUGGUCUCAGAAUGGUGCGAGACUUUGCGAGGCACCUCCGUGUGCCAAGAAUAGGCCGCGGGCACAGCCGCGCCCAAAAAUAACCGCCCGAAGGCCGGGGCGCCAAGUUCGUCCUGCGGAAAAAGCCCACAAAAACGGGUGGGCUAUAGCCUUGGGGGGUGGGGCUGGCCAACUUCGUCCGCUGGUCUGGAAAUGGCGUGAGACUUUGCGAGGCACCUCCGUGUGCCAAAAAUAGGCCGCGGGCACAGCCGCGCUAAAAAAUAACCGCCCGAAGGCCGGGGCGCGAAGUUCGUCCAGCGGAAAAAGGCCACCAAAACGGGUGGGCUAUAGCCUUGGGGGGUGGGGCUGGCCAUCUUCGUCCGGCGGACUAGGAAUAGCGCGAGACUUUGGGAGGUGCCUCCGUGUGCCAAAAAUAGGCCGCGGGCACAGCCGUACCCAAAAAUAACCGCCCGAAGGCCGGGGCGCCAUGUUCGUCCAUCGGAAAAAGGCCACAAAAACGGGUGGGCUAUAGCCUUUGGGUUUGGGGCAGGCCGACUUCGUCCGCCGGACUCGGAAUGGCGCGAGACAUUGUGAGGCCCCUCCGCGUGCCAAAAAUAGGCCUCGGGCACAGCUGCGCCCAAAAAUAACUGCCCGAAGCACGGGGCGCCAUGUUCGUCCAGCGGAAAAAGGCCACAAAAACGGGGGGGCUAUAGUCUUGGAGGGAGGGGCUGGCCGACUUCUUACGGCGAACCCGUAAUGGCGCGAGACNNNNNNNNNNNNNNNNNNNNNNNNNNNNNNNNNNNNNNNNNNNNNNNNNNNNNNNNNNNNNNNNNNNNNNNNNNNNNNNNNNNNNNNNNNNNNNNNNNNNUUGCCAAAAAUAGGCCGUGGGCAAAUCCGCACCCAAAAAUAACCGCCCGAAGGCCAGGGCGCCAAGUUCGUCCAGCGGAAAAAGGCCACAAAAACGGGUGGGCUAUAGCCUUGGGGGGUGGGGCUGGCCAACUUCGUCCGCCGGACUCGGAAUGCCGCGAGACUUUGCGAGGGGCCUUCGUGUGCCAAAAAUAGGCCGCGGGCAAUGCCACGCCCAAAAAUGACCGCCCGAAGGCCGGGGCGCCAUGUUCGUCCAGCGGAAAAAGGCCACAAAAACGGGUUGGCUAUAGCCUUGGGGGGUGGGGCUGGCCCACUUCGUCCGCCGGACUCGGAAUGCCGCGACACUUUACGAGGGGUCUUCACGUGCCAAAAAUAGGCCUCGGGCACAGCUGCACCCAAAAAUAAAUGCCCGAAGCAUGGGGCGCCAAGUUCGUCCAGCGGAAAAAUGCCACAAAAACGGGUGCGCUAUAGCCUUGGGGGGUGAGGCUGGCCAACAUCGUCCGCCGGACUCGGAAUGGCGGGAGACUUUGCAAGGCUCCUCCGUGUGCCAAAAAGAGGCCGUGGGCACAGCCGCGCCCAAAAAUUACAGCCCGAAGGCCGGGGCGCCAAGUUCGUCCAGCGGAAAAAGGCCACAAAAACGGGUGGGCUAUAGACUUGGGGGGUGGGGCUGGCCAACUUCGUCCGCCGGACUCGGAAUGCCGCGAGACUUUGCGAGGGGCCUCCAUGUGCCAAAAAUAGGCCUCGGGCACAGCUGCACCCAAAAAUAACUGCCCGAAGCACGGGGCACCAAGUUCGUGCAGCGGAAAAAGCCACAAAAACGGGUUGGCUAUAGCCUUGGGGGGUGGGGCUGGCCAACUUCGUCCGCCGGACUCGGAAUGCCGCGAGACUUUGCGAGGGGCCUCCGCGUGACAAAAUAGGCCUCGGGCGCAGCUACACCCAAUAAUAACUGCCCGAAGCACGGGGCGCCAAGUUCGUCCAGCGGAAAAAGGCCACAAAAACGGGUGGGCUAUAGCCUUGGGGUGUGGGGCUGGCCAACUUCGUCUGCCGGACCCGGAAUGGCGCGAGACUAUGCGAGGCACCUCCAUUUGCCAAAAAUAAGCCGUGGACAAAGCCGCGCCCAAAAAUAACCGCCCGAAGGCCGGGGCGCCAAAUUCGUCCAGCGGAAAAAGGCCACAAAAACGGGUGGGCUAUAGCCUUGGGUGGUGGGGCUGGCCAACUUCGUCCGCCGGACUCGGAAUGCCGCGAGACUUUACGAGGGGCCUCCAUUUGCCAAAAAUAGGCCGCGGGCAAAGCCGCGCCCAAAAAUAACCACCCGAAGGCUGGGGCGCCAAGUUCGUCCAGCGGAAAAAGGCCACAAAAACAGGUUGGCUAUAGCCUUGGGGGGUGGGGCUGGCCAACUUCGUCCGCCCGACUCGGAAUGCCGCGAGACUUUGCGAGGGGCCUCCGUGUGACAAAAAUAGGCCUCGGGCACACCUGCACCCAAAAAUAACUGCCCGAAGCACGGGGCGCCAAGUUCGUCCGGCGGAAAAAGGCAACAAAAACAGGUGGGCUAUAGCCUUGGGGGGUGGGGCUGGCCAACUUCGUCUGCCGGACCCGGAAUGGCGCGAGACUAUGCGAGGCACCUCCA
rnacentral:lncRNA from 1 species